rnacentral:rRNA from 1 species
UACAGAGGUGGCAAGCGUUGUUCGGAAUUACUGGGCGUAAAGGGCGCGUAGGCGGCCCGAUAAGUCCCGCGUGAAAGCCCCCGGCUCAACUGGGGAACUGCGCGGGAAACUAUCGGGCUUGAGUUCGGGAGAGGGAAGCGGAAUUCCGGGUGUAGCGGUGAAAUGCGUAGAUAUCUGGAGGAACACCGGUGGCGAAGGCGGCAUCCUGGACCGGCAUUGACGCUGAGGCGCGAAAGCCAGGGGAGCAAACGGG